rnacentral:rRNA from 1 species
CCCUUAGAUGUUCUGGGCUGCACGCGCGCUACACUGAUGCGCUCAACGAGUUUUAACCUUGCCUGGAAAGGUUGGGUAAUCUUUUUAAAACGCAUCGUGAUGGGGAUAGAUUAUUGCAAUUAUUAAUCUUCAACGAGGAAUUCCUAGUAAGCGCGAGUCAUCAGCUCGUGCUGAUUACGUCCCUGCCCUUUGUACACACCGCCCGUCGCACCUACCGAUUGAAUGUUUCGGUGAAGAUUCCGGAUAGGACUUUUUUGAUUUAUUUCAAUUCUGUCUUAAAAGCUAUCUAAACCUCAACAUUUAGAGGAAGGUGAAGUCGUAACA